CGGAGGGUGCAAGCGUUAUCCGGAUUCACUGGGUUUAAAGGGUGCGUAGGUGGGUUGGUAAGUCAGUGGUGAAAUCUCCGAGCUUAACUUGGAAACUGCCAUUGAUACUAUCAGUCUUGAAUAUUGUGGAGGUCAGCGGAAUAUGUCAUGUAGCGGUGAAAUGCUUAGAUAUGACAUAGAACACCAAUUGCGAAGGCAGCUGGCUACGCAUAUAUUGACACUGAGGCACGAAAGCGUGGGGAUCAAACAGGAUUAGAUACCCUGGUAGUCCACACCCUAAACUAUGGAUACUCGACAUACGCGAUACACUGUGUGUGUCUGAGCGAAAGCAUUAAGUAUCCCACCUGGGAAGUACGAUCGCAAGAUUG
rnacentral:rRNA from 1 species